ACAAACUUGGUCAUUUAGAGGAAGUAAAAGUCGUAACAAGGUUUCCGUAGGUGAACCUGCGGAAGGAUCAUCAAUGAAUUCAUAAAAUUCAUUUGGCUUUGGUUUGGAGACCCCUUUUCUUUUUGGCAAUUUUUUUUGCCAAGAGGUUUUGGGUAACCGUUCCAUUGCCUUAUCAACCAUUAGUCUCUGUCCAACAAAGGUGUCUUGAGAAAUUUACAUUUCUCCCCAGCCCUUUGCGGAUUGACAUUGACUUUUUGCAGAGUGUCCGGGUAGGUUCGCCCCUUUUUGUUGGGUUAUGUUUAUUUAUCUUCCAAACAGAAUAGGGCAACCUCUCUCACUCGUUUUCUGUGGGCAUUAAAAAAUUAAAAUACAACUUUUAACGAUGGAUCUCUUGGCUCCCGCAUCGAUGAAGAACGCAGC
rnacentral:misc_RNA from 1 species